CUGCUGUAUAGUCCAAAACCACCGCACGAUGUCUCUGUGCAACAAAUACUGGCGAGAUGGCACCGUGUUGAAAAGUCCACACAGUGUCUGUGAGUUAAAAUGGCCGCCAUCCAUUGUUCUCACCAUGUGCUUCUGAUACAGGAAAUGGUGGCCACCCAGUAACUCCACAGUAUGUCCCUAGAUGGUUCUUAAAAGGGCUAGCAGCAGCACAACACAAAUCCAUUAUGCCCAAAUCAUGUCUUUAAAGGGCAAUACAUCCCAGGGGCCAUAGUCACAUGGUAGGAGGCUGG